GCCGCUUACAUGUUAUAGUGGUGCGGGUUGCUGUGGAUUACAAUGUGUUCACAUGCCUUACGUGCAUUAUGCUACAAAGCUAGUAUCAGUGAUCACAUUACUUAUUUCUCUAUGCUUACUUUUCAGGUUCAAGUUGACUCAAAUCAACUAUUACUAUCAAAUCUUUAUUUAACAUUGUCCAGUAAGUAAGGUGUUAAGUAAGGGGUACUCUCAGC